AAAGAAUUCUGAAAAGGCACUUUGAGAGAAAUACAUUUGGUUCUGAAAGGAUAUAGCCAGCGGAAGCCGUUGCUAGGCGAAAGCUUUUCAACCGGGAUGUCACAUUAUGCUGAUGCGUGCUGUCAGCACUGUUCAAGUGUGCACGUGAUUUUGUACAAAGGUUUUAACUCCACUCACAGCUCCUCUGGUAUCCAUUCACUGUCUAUUUGAUCACCAUAUCAGAAUCAUUCCUACUGGUCACAGGCAUUUGACAUAGCUUCCUUGGUGCAAUGAUGUUAUGGUGUAUUUUGUUCUUUUUUUUAAUGAAGAAAAGUUGAUACAGAGGUGAUGAUCGGUCUACUCAGAGCCAAUAAAAUAAAUAGUUUGUGAGGCCUCAGGUAUAUUUUAAGAUUGAACAAAAGAAUGUGUGGGGUGAAGCUCCCACAGAACAGGAUUUUUUAAUUUUCGUUUUUCAGUUGCAGUUGCUGGGGUCUUGAAUCUGGGUUUAGAAGCUGCAGCACAUCUCUCCCUGAUACUCUCUCUUUCAGAGUUUUCUCUUGAUGUUUUCCCCCCUGGACUGGAGAACUGCAUGUGAGACAAACUAUUUUACUGAGCUUACCUUAGUUAAGGGUGUGUUUGUGGGAUGUUGCUAUCU